GAAAGUUGGAGGUUCGAAGUCAAUCAGAUACCAACCAUAAACGAUGCCGACUGUCGAUUUGAUGGUGUUAUUCCCAUGAUCCGUCGGGCAGCUUUUGAGAAACCAAAGUCUUUGGGU
rnacentral:ncRNA from 1 species